rnacentral:piRNA from 1 species
UGCUUCCUGUUGGGGUGACUGAGAGCUGC